GACGCUGGCCAUAGUUGACGACUCGAAUCUUGCGGUACAACUCGUAUGAAACGUAUGCAUCUUUUGCUGCAUACUCAAUGUUGAUAUCAUCAAGUGGGCCCUUCUCCCAAAGUGUGUGUUGAUACUUUGGGAAACUGGUCUUCAUAUCACCAUAUGACUCGUCGAUCAAGGCAACUGCCAUAUGAGCCAUCGAAGUCCUGUCAUGUCGAAGCCUGAAUAUCGUUUGGAGAUCAACGAGGCAACCAGCUGGUAUCUCAAUACCGAAGCUGUGCCUCAUCUUCAGCUUGUCGUUCCUUAUGUCAACGGAAGCA
rnacentral:lncRNA from 1 species